rnacentral:rRNA from 1 species
CUACGGGUGGCAGCAGUGGGGAAUAUUGCACAAUGGGCGCAAGCCUGAUGCAGCCAUGCCGCGUGUAUGAAGAAGGCCUUCGGGUUGUAAAGUACUUUCAGCGGGGAGGAAGGGAGUAAAGUUAAUACCUUUGCUCAUUGACGUUACCCGCAGAAGAAGCACCGGCUAACUCCGUGCCAGCAGCCGCGGUAAUACGGAGGGUGCAAGCGUUAAUCGGAAUUACUGGGCGUAAAGCGCACGCAGGCGGUUUGUUAAGUCAGAUGUGAAAUCCCCGGGCUCAACCUGGGAACUGCAGCUGAUACUGGCAAGCUCGAGUCUCGUAGAGGGGGGUAGAAUUCCAGGUGUAGCGGUGAAAUGCGUAGAGAUCUGGAGGAAUACCGGUGGCGAAGGCGGCCCCCUGGACGAAGACUGACGCUCAGGUGCGAAAGCGUGGGGAGCAAACAGGAUUAGAUACCCGAGUAGUC